rnacentral:rRNA from 1 species
AUUGAACGCUGGCGGCAGGCCUAACACAUGCAAGUCGAACGAGUGGCGGACGGGUGAGUAAUGUCUGGGAAACUGCCUGAUGGAGGGGGAUAACUACUGGAAACGGUAGCUAAUACCGCAUACCAUCAGAUGUGCCCAGAUGGGAUUAGCUAGUGGGUGGGGUAACGGCUCACCUAGGCGACGCACCCUAGCUGGUCUGAGAGGAUGACCAGCCACACUGGAACUGAGACACGGUCCAGACGCCGACGGUAGGCAGCAGUGGGGAAUAUUGCACAAUGGGAGCAAGCCUGAUACAGCCAUGCCGCGUGUGUGACGAAGGCCUCCGGGUUGUAAAGCACUUUCAGCGGGGAGGCGUUACCCGCAGAAGAAGCACCGGCUAACUCCGUGCCAGCAGCCGCGGUAAUAC